CGUAAACGAUGGAUACUAGGCGUGGCUUGUAUCGACACGAGCCGUGCUGAAGCUAACGCGUUAAGUAUCCCGCCUGGGGAGUACGCACGCAAGUGUGAAACUCAAAGGAAUAGACGGGCACCGCUCAAGCGGUGGAGUAUGUGGUUUAAUUAGAUGCAACGCGAAGAACCUCACCAAGGCUUGCCAUCCCUGGAAUCAUGCGGAAACGUGGGAGUGCCUUAGGGAGCCAGGAGACAGGUGGUGCAUGGCUGUCAGUCAGCUCGUGUCGUGAGAUGUUGGGUUAAGUCCCGCAACGAGCGCAACCCUCGUUUUUAGUUGCCAUCAUUAAGUUGGGCACUCUAGAGAGACUGCCGGUGACAAACCGGAGGAAGGUGGGGAUGACGUCAAGUCAUCAUGCCCCUUACGCCUUGGGCUACACACGUAAUACAAUGGUCGGGACAGCGGGCAGCGAGCUCGCGAGAGUAAGCGAAUCCCAUCAAACCCGGCCUCAGUUCAGAUUGCAGGAUGCAACUCGCCUGCACGAAGGAGGAAUCGGUAGUAAUCGCAGGUCAGAAUACUGCGGUGAAUUCGUUCCCGGCCCUCGUACACCCCGCCCGUCACACCAUGGGAGCUGGUCACGCCCGAAGUCGUUACUCUAACCUUAGGGAGGAGGGCGCCGAAGGCAGGGCUAGUGACUGGGGUGAAGUCGUAACAAGGUAGCCGUACCGGAAGGUGUGGCUGGAUCACCU
rnacentral:rRNA from 1 species